rnacentral:sRNA from 2 species
ACACACAUACCCCCACCCCUCCCCGCGCAGCUCACGAAACAGCAGACCUCAAAACCCUCGCGGCCAACUCUCCCAGCAACCGGGCCUUAUCCUCCGCCGGCAACGCCUGAAAAACCUCAUAAACGCUCUUCCCCUUCGCAUCCCUCACCGCUCCAAGUCGAUUCCCCGCAACCGCGCCGGCCACCGCCCCCGCCAGAUUCGCAACAAUGAAUCCCAGCGCCGCCCCACUCAGGCCGCCCACAACUGCCCAGAACCGGCCCGUCGGCCGCGUCCUCCCGCCAUCGUCCUCCGCCAGCCCUUCCUCGCGCAGCA